UACGGGGGGGGCAAGCGUUGUUCGGAAUUACUGGGCGUAAAGGGCUCGUAGGCGGCCACCUAAGUCGGACGUGAAAUCCCUCGGCUUAACCGGGGAACUGCGUCCGAUACUGGAUGGCUUGAGUUCGGGAGAGGGAUGCGGAAUUCCGGGUGUAGCGGUGAAAUGCGUAGAUAUCUGGAGGAACACCGGUGGCGAAGGCGGCAGCCUGGACCGACACUGACGCUGAGGAGCGAAAGCCAGGGGAGCAAACGGG
rnacentral:rRNA from 1 species